AGUUAUUAUUGGUGCUCAUGGUGCCGGUCUCACUCAUAUAAUUUCUGCAACACCAAAAACAGUAAUUUUAGAGAUCAUUAGCAGCCAGUUUAGGCGCCCACAUUUUCGAUUGAUUGCCCAGUGGAAAGGAUUGGAGUAUCAUGCCAUCAAUCUUGGUGGAUCGUAUGCUUCUCCAGCAGUUGUUAUUGACAGGCUUGAUAGAAUAAUGAAAAGCCUUGGGUGUUGAGCUCUUUUCCUAUUGUUUGAAAUUAUCCUUUUGUCUUAUUGCCGGGAAGGGGAAGCGGCAAGAAAUCCUUUCUGCUUGCAUUAUCAAUCUUUGGGAGUCGUUCCUUUUUGUUCUGUCAUUUUAUCUCUUCCCAGACUUAUUAUCUCACAUGCUACUACUUUCUGCUACUUAGCAUGGCAAUGCAUGGUCAAGGGACCUGCGCGGUGGUAUUGUAAAGCGUAAAUAUAAUGUGAUCCUCGGAUCUGAUACUUAACGAAGAGAACUUAUCUUUUAUGUCGUUCUGUCUUCAAGAGGAGGAUGCCUUUCUUUAGG
rnacentral:misc_RNA from 1 species